CAGUCGCCGCGGUAAUACGAAGGGGGCUAGCGUUGUUCGGAAUUACUGGGCGUAAAGCGCGUGUAGGCGGGUCUUUAAGUCAGAGGUGAAAUGCCAAGGCUCAACCUUGGAACUGCCUUUGAUACUGGAGAUCUUGAGUCCGGGAGAGGUGAGUGGAAUUGCGAGUGUAGAGGUGAAAUUCGUAGAUAUUCGCAAGAACACCAGUGGCGAAGGCGGCUCACUGGCCCGGAACUGACGCUGAGACGCGAAAGCGUGGGGAGCAGACAGGAUUAGAUACCCCCGUAGUCCCUGUCUCUUAUAA
rnacentral:rRNA from 1 species